rnacentral:rRNA from 1 species
AUUGAACGCUGGCGGCAUGCCUUACACAUGCAAGUCGAACGGUAACAGGUCUUCGGAUGCUGACGAGUGGCGAACGGGUGAGUAAUACAUCGGAACGUGCCUAGUAGUGGGGGAUAACUACUCGAAAGAGUGGCUAAUACCGCAUGAGAUCUACGGAUGAAAGCAGGGGAUCGCAAGACCUUGUGCUACUAGAGCGGCCGAUGGCAGAUUAGGUAGUGGGUGGGAUAAAAGCUUACCAAGCCGACGAUCUGUAGCUGGUCUGAGAGGACGAUCAGCCACACUGGGACUGAGACACGGCCCAGACUCCUACGGGAGGCAGCAGUGGGGAAUUUUGGACAAUGGGCGCAAGCCUGAUCCAGCAAUGCCGCGUGCAGGAUGAAGGCCUUCGGGUUGUAAACUGCUUUUGUACGGAACGAAAAGCCCUGGGUUAGUACCCUGGGGUCAUGACGGUACCGUAAGAAUAAGCACCGGCUAACUACGUGCCAGCCGCCGCCGUAAGAC